GUCUUAACACACUUCGUUUCAGAAAUCGCGAAGGUGCAUCCCGCUUUAUUACGUCGCAAUAUACUUCACCCGCGACGUCACGCCAAAAUCGCUGUGUUUGUUAUGUUUAUUACGUCAUAAUUCGACACAAUCGCUCGCGUUAUUGUUACGUCAUAGCUUAACACACGCGCUUGCUACGUCACAAUGCAGUUUGUUGUACGCCUUCGUUUCGCUAUUUUUUCAUGGGGCCCCAUGAGCGUUUUUCGGUGUUGCAAGGCACAAUACUUGUAUAUUCUAACUAUAUUUGAGCUACGGAUGCGAAGGAAGCAGAUUAAAGAACUGGUAAAGUAUAAAUCACAAUUGACAUUAUUAUGUACAUAGGCUCUUUUCUAGAAACAUCGAUGAUGUGACGUCACGAAGUGGUGAUGUCGGAACAGAAGAACCCACUUCAACAUUGUAGGUGACGUCACAGAGGAUCAAGUGGGCCAUGGGGCAAAAGGAAGAAUGAAGAAAAGUCAGCGAAUAAAGCUGCAGAAGGAAAGCGCAAGUUGAAGAACAAAGACGAAGACGCCAAUAAAGGAUACACGGUUUGGGGUUUGAUGUUUUGUAUGAGUUGUAUAUAUGUCGUGUAUGUGUAUGUGUCUGUCUGUGCUGCUGUACUUUAUUCUGCUGGGCCUAAUGUUGCCAGCUAUUUUAGUCAGUCACUGCUAUAGUUCAUUUUGCAUGUCACUGAAAUAUAUGCAAUGAAACUAUGGCGAACAUCUUGCUGGAUAAGAUUUUGUUGUUGUCCGCUCUAUUCAUUUUGUCUUCGUCUACAAAGAUCAAACCCUUCAACGAUUUUGUCUUGUCCUGAUCGCUUGGUGAGAACGCUGUGUUGGUACACAAAUACUCUAGUAAUAUCUGCACGCAGCAUAAUAUGCGA